rnacentral:rRNA from 1 species
CUACGGGCCGCACCAGUGAGGAAUUUUGCGCAAUGGGGGAAACCCUGACGCAGCAAUGCCGCGUGAGCGAAGAAGGCCUUCGGGUCGUAAAGCUCUGUCAAGUGGGAAAAAGGUCUUUCGAUUAAUACUCGAUAGGUUUGAUGGUACCACUGGAGGAAGCACCGGCUAACUCCGUGCCAGCAGCCGCGGUAAUACGGAGGGUGCAAGCGUUGUUCGGAAUUACUGGGCGUAAAGGGCGUGCAGGCGGUUUGGCAAGUCAGAUGUGAAAGCCCUGGGCUUAACCCAGGAAGUGCAUUUGAAACUGCCUUUCUUGAGUAUGGGAGAGGAGAGUGGAAUUCCUGGUGUAGAGGUGAAAUUCGUAGAUAUCAGGAGGAACACCCGUGGCGAAGGCGACUCUCUGGACCAAUACUGACGCUGAGACGCGAAAGCGUGGGGAGCAAACAGGAUUAGAUACCCGUGUAGUC